CCUACGGGCGGCGGCAGUGAGGAAUAUUGGUCAAUGGGCGCGAGCCUGAACCAGCCAAGUAGCGUGAAGGAUGACUGCCCUACGGGUUGUAAACUUCUUUUAUAAAGGAAUAAAGUGAGGCACGUGUGCCUUUUUGUAUGUACUUUAUGAAUAAGGAUCGGCUAACUCCGUGCCAGCAGCCGCGGUAAUACGGAGGAUGCGAGCGUUAUCCGGAUUUAUUGGGUUAAAAGGGUGCGUAGGCGGGAUGCCAAGUAAGCGGUAACAAUGCGGUGCUCAACGCCGUCGAGCCGUUGAAACUGGCGUUCUUGAGUGGGCGAGAAGUAUGCGGAAUGCGUGGUGUAGCGGUGAAAUGCAUAGAUAUCACGCAGAACUCCGAUUGCGAAGGCAGCAUACCGGCGCCCUACUGACGCUGAGGCACGAAAGCGUGGGUAUCGAACAGGAUUAGAUACCCGAGUAGUC
rnacentral:rRNA from 1 species